UCUUUCUCGUGAACCAGAAGCCUCCCCUGAGUUUUUUUUUUCUUUUUACUUUCUAACUUCCCUUCCUCAGUAAUUUUCCCAUUUUCCCGAUUGCAGCUCUUACGCCCUAGAUGCCGCUGCCGCUAUAUGGAUUGCUUAAUCUGUUAGUUUGGAGGCAUCAUCUUGGCGCACCUGAGAGACAUGAGGGGUCAGGGCAAGAGGAUGAAGAAAGGAGAUCCAGACACAGGCGGAUCAGCAUCCAUCGGCGAUUUGGAGUAAGGCGGAGGCAAGUCCAUGGGACACAUGAGGUUGACAACGCCCGUGCCAGUCUGCCAGAACACACGGAAUGUCUUUACAGUCCUCUGAUAAUCCAACGGAGUAGGACAUACCUUCAGAAGUUGUUAAGAUGCCCAAGGCGUAUUCUCAGUCCGAAACAGAUAUGUUACAUGCCGAUGGCGAACCUGUAUCCACCAGAUACUGUGUUAGAUUAAUAUGUGAAGUGGUUUCUAAGUUUGAUUUCAAUAAGAGGGUCUAAGUCUGUAGGAUUUUAUUGCAUUCUGUAUUUCCCACCUACGAGGCAGAUCAAUCUAAGGUUCUGCUCAUAUAUUUUCUACUUUCACUUUCAGUGGAUGUUUUUUAUAAUUUUUCUUUCAAUCACACAUAACAAGUGGGAAAAAAACCCGUUUUUCUCUCAAACACAUUACCUUUGCUUGCACCAGGUUUUCUUGUAAACUGGAAUCAUUCAAUAUUUAUAGCUUAGGGCUGCAGCUGAUAGCUGUUAUCAUCGGGAUGGUGAGCUGCAGAUAGCUGUUAUCAUCAGGAUGGUGAGCUGCAGUUAGAAGGCGACAGAUUGACAGUGCUCUUGCUUGCAAUCCGGGAGAUUUCAGCUGCUAUCACCCAUCUUCUUAGUCAUAAGAGUUGAUGAUAUGUCUUUACACGAACUCGACUCCAAGAUAUAUAUGUACACUGCUCGUGCCAAGGUGCCAAGGAUUGGUUUUACUUGUUAGUAACUUAAAAACAGAGUGUGUGUUCUCAACAUUGGCUGUUCUAGUAGUAUGUCUAAACCUUCCAUUUUCAUUUGCUAAAAUUAUGAUAUUUGGCAUGUUGCUCUGCUGUGUUAA